rnacentral:misc_RNA from 1 species
CUGCUAUAACAAAAAACAAAUACUAACACGGUUCGUAUCGUAUACAUAUAAUCACCCCAUACUGAAAGUAUUCAUCUAUUGAGAAAAAACAGAACUUGGUAUAGUCUCAGGAUUCUCCAAGCCACAUACAUAUCAGUACAAUACUUAUAUGAACCAAUAAUUUCAAACAAAAUCAAAAUUUGAUAAUUAAAACAUCCUAUAAAUCAAAAUUAAAGCAUCUCGGCCCGAGCAGUAACAGCUCUGAGCUUGGAGUAAACCUUACCAGCAGGAGACCCCAUAAUGAGACUACAAAGUGAAUCUCUAGCAAUCUUAAUGUUCAAAAACGAUCCCAAUAUAUGUAUUUUGCUAUCUGCAAUUACUAUCCUAGUCUUCGUCGCAUUCUCUAUAGCAAAUUUCGUCUUUCCUCCUUUCCCAGACAAUCUACCAAUAGCCCUAGACAAAUGCUCACCUCUUAGUGUCUUCACAUCCUUGAUCUCGAAGGAAUCCACAUAUAACUCAUCCAAACGGAGCAAAGCAACAGCAUCACAGACAUCAAACCCUAGCAUGAAAGCAUGAACAAAAUCAGCGCACUUUUGUAGGUUGCUGAUGUCGGGAGUAUCGGUUCGGGUUUUCAGCUCAACCCGACGCUUCUUGAGAUUCAUUCGGAUGUCAAUCUUCAUCUGCUCGAAGAUUGGAUUGUAGAUUUCCAUCCAUACUUUCUUCAGUGGAGUGUACCGAUGCUGUGGGACUGUAACUUUGCGAAACUGGACAUGGCCGUCUGAGAUUUCGUGGGCCUUUAGAGGUUGAAAGUUGGGUUUCGCCGGUAAGGUUGCCGGCGGUUGCUCAGCCCUCAGAUUGUCAAUAUCCAUGGCUACAGAACCAGGGAAGAGAAGGAGGGGCUGGAG